CGCUGGAGUGUCAGAGGCUUGGGCAGGAGAUAAUUCGCCGUUGUGCUUGGAAAAUCCUGCAGUUGUACCUGCAACAGGCACCUGAGGAGGCUGGGCAAAUAUUAAUAUAUAAUACUUACUGAGUGCUUCCUAUGAACUAGGACCUCUGAGAAGAGAUUUAUGUGCAGACCUCCUCUAACCUUUCCAGCAGCCCAUGAGAUGCAAAAGAAAGACUUCUGGAUUCACAAAGCUCAUUUACUCAAAGAGGAGAUCCAAAAUAAGUGGAAAAGAUACUUACAGAGAAGUCAGGAAGAUCAUGGGUCGAUGGCGUAAAAUACAACUAAUAAGAGAAUCACCACGCAGGGUCUAUAUCAAAAGGUCAAAGACCAUGACGUCCCAGGCAUCGCCAGCCAGAAAGCUGCCAUGGAGCCUUCAUUGAACCCUUACCAUGGGACAGCCACUGAGCUAAGAGCAUUGCAUGCAUGAGCUCACAUAAUCCUCACAACACCAAAUGGAGAUAUCAUUAGCUCCAUUUCACAGAAGAAGCAAUCAAGGUUUACAGACAAUAGAGAACCUGGCAAAGUCAUCCAGCCUGUGUGUGGUAGAAGAAGAUUUGAAUUAAAUACUUUCCGCCUCCAAAGUCCUUGCUGUUAACUGAGCCGUGCUGCCUCCCAGAUGGUCACAGUCAUUGCUCCCUUCAUCUGAAUUUCCUCUUCUCUGUGCAUGCUUUUUCUCACAUGGGGCAUCAUUCUAUAUGGCCAUUCUGGGACACACUUCUUUUUAUGUCUGUACCAUCCACCAAGUCCUUGAAGUACUCUGCCACUUACUCUGCAUCCAGCUCUCAGAAAAGGCAAGAGAGACCGUGUAGAAGAUACCAUGGGAAGUUUCAAAAGUCCAGGCCUGGAAGUGGCAUUGUACAUUACAACCACCCACGUUUCAAUGGCAAAAACAAAGUCACAUGACCACAUCUACAGCAAAGGAUAUUGAAUUGUGUAGAUUGGUUUGUGUAAGACUGGAAUCAACAUUUAUCUGAAUGUUUGAUAAAUCUUUCUGAUAAAAUCAUCUAAACCAAAUUUUUUGUUAUUAGGAAAAAUUUUAACUAUUGUUUAACUAAAAAAUCAAUUACAUUAAGGUUUUUGAAAUUUAUUGGCAUAAGUAUUUUCAGAGAAAUCUCUCAUAUUUUAAAAUCUUUGCCAUGUCAAUUGUUAUGUCCUCUUUUCAUGCUUAAUUUAUUUGUGACUUCUCUUUUUUCCUCGAUCAAAAAAUCAGCUUUGGUAUUUAUUAAUCCUGAAUAUCAUUUCCUAUCUCAUUAAUUUCUUCUCAAGUCUUUAUUAUUGCCUUCCUUUGACAUUUUGGGUUUGAUAUAUUGUGACUCCUCUAAUUCUGGCAUUAUCGUAACAACAUUUUUCUAAUAUUAAGCAUUUUCACUUCUAAGUUUCCUUUUGAUUAUCACUUUAGCUGAUUCCUACACAUUUGUAUAUGAAGUAUUUUAAUUAGUAAGUUUAAAAAUAUUGUAACUUCCACUCUGAUUGCUUUCAUGGAUUGUUUUAGUUUGUUUGCUGGUGCUAUAAUGAAUCCCUCAAAUUGGGUAAUUUAUAAAGAAGAGAAAUUUAUUUUCUCACAAUUCUGGAGACUGGGAAGUCCAAGAUCAAAGCACCAGUAGUUAGCAAGUGUCUUCUUGCUGCUUUAUCACAUGGUGGAAGGGCAAAGAGGCAAAAGGGGCCAAACUCAUCCUUUUAUAAUGGCAUUAAUCCUACCCAUGAGAGUAGAGUCUUUAUGCCCCAAUCAUCUCUUAAAUGUCCCACCUCCCAACACCACUGCAAUGGUAAUCAAAUUCCAUGAGUUUUGGAGGGGACAAACAUGCAAACCAUCACAUGGACAAGUUAAGUUAAUUAUUAGAACCGUCUCCCAUUAAAAUUCCACGUUUGGACUUUUUUGCAGUAAACUUCUUGUGUGUUUUAAAAUUUUUUACUUAAUUAUAUUAGGGUUAGAUAGUAUGAUUUCUAUAAUAGAAAUACUUUGACACUGACUGAGACUUGCUUUAAGGGCUUAGUAUGUGGUCAGUCUUUAUAAAUACUCCAUGUGCCUUUUAAAGGAAGAUUCAUUCUAAAUUUGCUGGUUGCAGGGUUCUACAUUAUUUCCGUCAGAUCAAACAUGUUAAUUGUUUUACUGAAACUUAUAUCCUUUAGUAAGUUUUUGCCUACUUAUUCAACCAAUAUGUUAAACUUCUUCCAUUUUGCUAGUAAAGUUAUUAAUCUCUCUUUAUAAUUGUGUCAAAUUUUUCCUUGUAUCCUCUCAAGCUAUAUUAUUGGGUGGAUAGAGGUUAAGAAUUAUUAUACUUUCCUGUUGGAUUUAACCUUUUAUUAUAAUGCCUACUAAUGCCUUUGCCAUGAAGAUAUCAGGAAUUUUAUCAGUAAGCUAUACCAGAUGUCAUUAAAUUUUACCUGAAUAUAUUUAACAGUUUUUUUAUGAAGGUCAAUUGCAUAGAGUUGGAUUAAUCAAAGUCCUUGGUGCAGUAUGCACUGCAUUUAUUGAUCUAUCCAUGACCAUUCUUUAUUUCAUUGUUUGUCUAUUUGUUCAUUUGUAUGUUUAUAUUAUAAACUCCCAGGAACCAACUUCCCAAUACAUAGAGCAUUGCCAAUAAUUUAUAUGUGAGCUCCUUCUAUAUUUCACACUUCUGGUUCCCCUUCAGAGGCAGUAAUUAUCCUAAAUUUUGUGUUUAUCAUUUGUUUGGUGUGUUUGUAUUUGUUUUGCUUUCGGGUUCACUUCAUAUAUUUGUUUGUUUUUUAUCAACUUUUAAGUUCACUUCAUAUAUUUGUAUGCCCAAACAGUAUAUAUCUUUUAGUUUCAUAAAA
rnacentral:lncRNA from 1 species